rnacentral:rRNA from 1 species
AUUGAACGCUGGCGGCAUGCCUUACACAUGCAAGUCGAACGGUAACAGGUCUUCGGAUGCUGACGAGUGGCGAACGGGUGAGUAAUACAUCGGAACGUGCCUAGUAGUGGGGGAUAACUACUCGAAAGAGUGGCUAAUACCGCAUGAGAUCUACGGAUGAAAGCAGGGGAUCGCAAGACCUUGUGCUACUAGAGCGGCCGAUGGCAGAUUAGGUAGUUGGUGGGAUAAAAGCUUACCAAGCCGACGAUCUGUAGCUGGUCUGAGCGGACGAUCAGCCCAACUGGGACGGAGACACGGCCCAGACUCCUACGGGAGGCAGCAGUGGGGAAUGUUGGACAAUGGGCGCAAGCCUGAUCCAGCAAUGCCGCGUGCAGGAUGAGGGCCUUCGGGUUGUAAACUGCUUUUGUACGGAACGAAAAGCCCUGGGUUAAUACCCUGGGGUCAUGACGGUACCGUAAGAAUAAGCACCGGCUAACUACGUGCCAGCCGCCGCGGUAA